GCUGUGAUGGUGUAGGGGUAACAUCUACGCUUCCCAUGUCUCAUAUAUGCGCCUGCGUAGGCUCCGAGUUCGAGUCUCGGUCACAGCA